rnacentral:rRNA from 1 species
AUGGCAGCGGACGCUAGAAGGGGUGAGGGGCCCGGGAGCCACAACGGGAGCCACGAGAGCGAGUUGGACUUGGCCAUGCUCGUCAGCGACUGCCUCAAGGGUAACGGCAGCGAGGACCCGGGCUCCCCGACCUCGGCCACUUCGCAGACAAGAUCAAGGUAUAUGUACAAGAAAGCAGGAGAUGAGAAAGAAAACAAGCUGCUCUCCAUUGUUCACUCCCUCUUCUCGAUCCACGAGACAUGGCUCCAGGUUUUUGUAAGAGGUCAAUGUACUGGCAGUUGCAGUCGCCAUCUACUCAUGAAGCUCCUUAGUUACUCGAGAUACGACGCGGUGGUGAACAUGAGUACAUUGAAUAUUAGUGGACUUGGAUCAUCUUAUGAAAUCCAUGGAAUCCUUGUGGUAGUUAUUUCUCCAGGUAUGGCAAAAGUCAUGGAGUCUUUACUAUUUGUACAUUGGCAUUCUCAAAAGAUAAUUGAUGGGUUUGUACUUUGUCAUUUUGUUUAUAGAGAAGGGGCCAUUUCCAGAAUUUUGCUAUGCUUGUCUUUGUAUUAA